rnacentral:rRNA from 1 species
AUUGAACGCUGGCGGCAUGCUUUACACAUGCAAGUCGAACGGCAGCGCGGGCUUCGGCCUGGCGGCGGGUGGCGAACGGGUGAGUAAUACAUCGGAACGUGCCCAGUAGUGGGGGAUAGCUCGGCGACAGCCGGAUUAAUACCGCAUACGACCUGAGGGUGAAAGCGGGGGAUCUUCGGACCUCGCGCUAUUGGAGCGGCCGAUGGCAGAUUAGCUAGUUGGUGGGGUAAAGGCCUACCAAGGCGACGAUCUGUAGCUGGUCUGAGAGGACGACCAGCCACACUGGGACUGAGACACGGCCCAGACUCCUACGGGAGGCAGCAGUGGGGAAUUUUGGACAAUGGGCGAAAGCCUGAUCCAGCAAUGCCGCGUGUGUGAUGAAGGCCUUCGGGUUGUAAAGCACUUUUGGCGGGAACGAAAAGGACUGUGCCAAUACCACGGUUCGAUGACGGUACCCGCAGAAUAAGCACCGGCUAACUACGUG